UUGUUUUGUAAUUCUUGUGUCUAAGAGCUUGUGUCACUGAUCAAGAUGAGUGAUCCCAAGUAUGCUUACCCAUACCCUGCUCAAGGUUAUUAUCAAGGCCCACCUGUAAUGGCACCACCACAAUAUGCUGCUCCACCACCAAGACGAGAACCUAGUUUUCUUGAAGGAUCCCUUGCUGCUUUAUGUUGUUGCUGUCUCAUUGAUGAAUGUUGCUGUGAUCCUUCCAUCAUUUUUAUCAGCUAAUUAGUGAUCUUGGUCAUUGUACCGUCUAGUUGAAGUGUUGGUGAAUUGACUAAGAACCAUUUUCAGUUUUUUGUCUUGUUUUCUUGUAUUGUGAAUUUGUGAUAGGGGACUAGGGGUUUAUACUAAGUCUUAAAGAGUUGCUCCUUCAAGAUCUUUGGGUUGUAUUUUUAUGUAGUUUCUGAAGUAAAGGCAUGUUUUGAAAAUGGAAAUGAGAGCAUUUCAAGUUGAAAA